rnacentral:rRNA from 1 species
GUUAAGCGACUAAGCGUACACGGUGGAUGCCCUGGCAGUCAGAGGCGAUGAAGGACGUGCUAAUCUGCGAUAAGCGUCGGUAAGGUGAUAUGAACCGUUAUAACCGGCGAUUUCCGAAUGGGGAAACCCAGUGUGUUUCGACACACUAUCAUUAACUGAAUCCAUAGGUUAAUGAGGCGAACCGGGGGAACUGAAACAUCUAAGUACCCCGAGGAAAAGAAAUCAACCGAGAUUCCCCCAGUAGCGGCGAGCGAACGGGGAGCAGCCCAGAGCCUGAAUCAGUGUGUGUGUUAGUGGAAGCGUCUGGAAAGGCGCGCGAUACAGGGUGACAGCCCCGUACACAAAAAUGCACAUGCUGUGAGCUCGAUGAGUAGGGCGGGACACGUGGUAUCCUGUCUGAAUAUGGGGGGACCAUCCUCCAAGGCUAAAUACUCCUGACUGACCGAUAGUGAACCAGUACCGUGAGGGAAAGGCGAAAAGAACCCCGGCGAGGGGAGUGAAAAAGAACCUGAAACCGUGUACGUACAAGCAGUGGGAGCACGCUUAGGCGUGUGACUGCGUACCUUUUGUAUAAUGGGUCAGCGACUUAUAUUCUGUAGCAAGGUUAACCGAAUAGGGGAGCCGAAGGGAAACCGAGUCUUAACUGGGCGUUAAGUUGCAGGGUAUAGACCCGAAACCCGGUGAUCUAGCCAUGGGCAGGUUGAAGGUUGGGUAACACUAACUGGAGGACCGAACCGACUAAUGUUGAAAAAUUAGCGGAUGACUUGUGGCUGGGGGUGAAAGGCCAAUCAAACCGGGAGAUAGCUGGUUCUCCCCGAAAGCUAUUUAGGUAGCGCCUCGUGAAUUCAUCUCCGGGGGUAGAGCACUGUUUCGGCAAGGGGGUCAUCCCGACUUACCAACCCGAUGCAAACUGCGAAUACCGGAGAAUGUUAUCACGGGAGACACACGGCGGGUGCUAACGUCCGUCGUGAAGAGGGAAACAACCCAGACCGCCAGCUAAGGUCCCAAAGUCAUGGUUAAGUGGGAAACGAUGUGGGAAGGCCCAGACAGCCAGGAUGUUGGCUUAGAAGCAGCCAUCAUUUAAAGAAAGCGUAAUAGCUCACUGGUCGAGUCGGCCUGCGCGGAAGAUGUAACGGGGCUAAACCAUGCACCGAAGCUGCGGCAGCGACGCUUAUGCGUUGUUGGGUA